rnacentral:rRNA from 1 species
GAUGAACGCUGGCGGCGUGCCUAAUACAUGCAAGUCGAGCGAACAGACGAGGAGCUUGCUCCUCUGACGUUAGCGGCGGACGGGUGAGUAACACGUGGAUAACCUACCUAUAAGACUGGGAUAACUUCGGGAAACCGGCGCUAAUACCGGAUAAUAUAUUGAACCGCAUGGUUCAAUAGUGAAAGACGGUUUUGCUGUCACUUAUAGAUGGAUCCGCGCCGCAUUAGCUAGUUGGUAAGGUAACGGCUUACCAAGGCGACGAUGCGUAGCCGACCUGAGAGGGUGGUCGGCCACACUGGAACUGAGACAGGGUCCAGACUCCUACGGGAGGCAGCAGUAGGGAAUCUGCCGCAAUGGGCGAAAGCCUGACGGAGCAACGCCGAGUGAGUGAUGAAGGUCUUCGGAUCGUAAAACUCUGUUAUGAGGGAAGAACAAAUGUGUAAGUAACUAUGCACGUCUUGACGGUACCUAAUCAGAAAGCCACGGCUAACUACGUG